CCUACGGGAGGCAGCAGUAGGGAAUAUUGGUCAAUGGGUGAGAGCCUGAACCAGCCAUGCCGCGUGCAGGAAGACGGCCUUCUGGGUUGUAAACUGCUUUUGUCAGGGGAUAAAAUUUCCUUGCGAGGAAAAUUGAAGGUACCUGGUGAAUAAGCCACGGCUAACUACGUGCCAGCAGCCGCGGUAAUACGUAGGUGGCAAGCGUUGUCCGGAUUUAUUGGGUUUAAAGGGUGCGUAGGCGGCCUAGUAAGUCAGUGCUGAAAUAUUCCGGCUUAACCGGGAGGGUGGCAUUGAUACUGAUGGGCUAGAGUACAGAUGAGGUAGGCGGAAUUGACGGUGUAGCGGUGAAAUGCUUAGAUAUCGUCAAGAACACCUAUAGCGAAGGCAGCUUACUAGGCUGUAACUGACGCUGAGGCACGAAAGUGUGGGGAUCAAACAGGAUUAGAUACCCUGGUAGUCCACACUGUAAACGUUGAUUACUCGCUGUGUGCGAUAUACAGUACGCGGCCAAGCGAAAGCGAUAAG
rnacentral:rRNA from 1 species